rnacentral:rRNA from 1 species
UACGAAGGGGGCUAGCGUUGCUCGGAAUCACUGGGCGUAAAGCGCACGUAGGCGGAUUUCUAAGUCAGGGGUGAAAUCCUGGAGCUCAACUCCAGAACUGCCUUUGAUACUGGGAAUCUCGAGUCCGGGAGAGGUGAGUGGAACUGCGAGUGUAGAGGUGAAAUUCGUAGAUAUUCGCAAGAACACCAGUGGCGAAGGCGGCUCACUGGCCCGAUACUGACGCUGAGGCACGAAAGCGUGGGGAGCAAACAGGG